UUCAAACUCAUAUAAAUAUAUGCUUUACCUUUAUUUUAUUUUAUUAUAUGGUGCGAAAUAAAAUAAAAUUUUAAUUUAUAUUUUUAUUUACCGUCCAUCCAUUUGCAAUAAUAUUAUCAUAAAUUGGUAUUAUAUAUUUUAUAGUAAUAUUUUAAUUAAUUUGAUUAUUAUUUAUUAAUUUUUUUAUCGAUUUAUUAAAUAUAAUUAGUGAUGAUUUCAAAAAAAAUAUUUUUAGUGAAUAAUUAAUAUAUUUUAUUAUUGUCAGAAUUCACUUAUUUUUAAUAUUUAUUUAUUCAGUCACGUCACUUAAUUUUAUUUAUUAUAAAUAAAAUCAAAUAAAAUAUUAAUAUGAAAUAUAUGAUAUCAAUUUAUGAUAAAUAUUAUUAAAAAUGAACGACUGUAAAUAAAAAAUAUAAGUUAAACAUUUUAUUUAAGAUACAAUAAAACAAAAUAAAAGGCAAGUCAAUGUAUAUGAGUUUGAAAAUUGGGCUAGGCAGAUUUUGAGACCUAUGGCUACAGGCCUGUUUCCCCAAGCAGCCAAGCUUUAUCACCGGCCCAUCAUGAGAAACAGGUCCGUCCAAGUUAAAAUGAACUUGUACAUUCAAAAUUCAUUCUAAAAGCAGCUCAAUAUGUUUUUGAUUUCUACUCAUAUUAUCAUAGUAUAGUACAAGUACAACAAUAUAUACAACAGCAAGUCAUCAUUGACAACACUCUGCACUCUGCUCUUCGCCUAAUCAACUCCUUCAUUGAUAUUGUUGAGGUGUGAAGGAAUGGAUAGAUCCAUACCCAACAGAAAAAGAAAUAGAAAGGAGACAUUUAAAGUUCCUUCCUUGGACGUUUUGUGUCUCCAAAAAGCUAUUGAUAACGUUAAACACAUUGGAAAUAUUGCGGGAAUACCGGACCAGUUUCUGGAACGGAUUUUACCUCACUGCAACGCUGAGAGUUGAAGAACAUUGAGGAGAAGAACAAGCUAGGGAACAGACGUUAGCCACUUGACUAACUAUCUCUGGCAAAAUUUUCAUCGGAAGAGAUUUGGUCAGAGGAGUUUCAAUUCAGUGGUUGAGAAAAUAAGUAGUACAAAUGUAUCUUUCAGAUGGAAAGACUUGUACGAGGUAAUCUUAUUCUUUUGUGUCGCUAUCUUUCAAAUCAGUGUUUAAAUUUGUGAAAUAUAUACCUGCCUCUUCUAAAAAUAUAAUUGUGCAUCUCUUACAAGAAAUGUAUACAUACCUUUUCAAUGAUUUAGCUUUGAACAAACAUAUGCAUCCACAUCAUCAGUGAAUACCUCGACAGAGCAUGGCUCUCAAUAUCAGGUCCCGUAGGACCCGUACUGUUAACUCAUCUGUACUUUGUGAAACUUAAUUCGGUGAAGGAAGAAGACUUACGGUGCUUAAUGAUUUGUCCAAACAUAAUGCGUCAUUCAGCAACUAUUUUGAGGCUUGCAGAUGAUAUGGCAACUUCAUAGUAUGAACUAUGAAAUGGUGAGGGGUGACAAGGGUGUUUUAGAAGACGAAGCCAGAGAACACAUUAAGUACUUGAUAACUGAGACAAGGAAGAAGUUAAAUGAAGAGUGUGCAGAGUCUCCUUUGUCCAAGCCUUCUAUUGAAAAUUGCUUAAAUCUGGAAAAGAUAGCUUCAUGUGUUUAUUUAUAUUUGUAAUUUCUGUAAUUACAAAUAUUUCUUACUAUUUGUUCAUCCCAUUCCUCUUGAGCUAUGACACGCAAUCCUCAGUUCACAUUGACAAAAUGAAAUAAGCUCAAAACUUCCAUUUCUGAUGUACCAGCAGGAUCCCGUUUGAGCAACUUUGCGCCCAAGCAUUUUAGUCCUUAGACAUUAUGAAUAAGCUGAGCUUUAGAGUGCAGUAAUCAGUAUCAUACAAGUUUUAUUAUUCACAUAUAAACUUAUAAGCAGGAGACUAAUGUGAAAAUGU